AUGAACGCUGGCGGCGUGCCUAAUACAUGCAAGUCGAGCGGUAAGGCCCCUUCGGGGGUACACGAGCGGCGGACGGCUGAGUAACACGUAGGAACGUACCCCAAACUGAGGGAUAAGCACCAGAAAUGGUGUCUAAUACCGCAUGUGCUCUUCGGAGUAAAGCUACGGCGGUUUGGGAACGGCCUGCGUAAGAUUAGCUUGUUGGUAAGGUAAUGGCUUACCAAGGCGACGAUCUUUAGCUGGUCUGAGAGGAUGAUCAGCCAGACUGGGACUGAGAACGGCCCAGACUCCUACGGGAGGCAGCAGUAGGGAAUUUUCCACAAUGGGGGCAACCCUGAUGGAGCAACGCCGCGUGCAGGAUGAAUGUCUUCGGAUUGUAAACUGCUUUUCUCUGUGACGAAUAUGACGGUAGCAGAGGAAUAAGGACCUGCUAACUACGUGCCAGCAGCCGCGGUCAUACGUAGGGUCCAAGCGUUAUCCGGAAUUACUGGGCGUAAAGAGUUGCGUAGGUGGCACUGUAAGCGAGUAGUGAAAGCGUCCGGCUCAACCGAGGAUACCCAUUAUUCGAACUGCAUGAGCUAGAGGCCAAGGAGAGGUCAGUGGAAUUCCUAGUGUAGCGAGUGAAAUCCGUAGAUAUUAGGAGGAACACCGAUGGCGUAGGCAGGCUGACUGGACCUGUACUGACACUAAGGCACGAAAGCGUGGGGAGCGAACGGGAUUAGAUACCCCGGUAGUCCACGCCGUAAACUAUGGAGUGCUUGGUGUAUUCGGUAUCGACCCCGGCUGUAGCCGAAGCUAACAGCAGUUAAGCACUCCGCCUGUGGAGUACGGUCGCAAGGACUAAACAUCAAAGGAAUUGACGGGGGCCCGCACAAGCGGUGGAGCAUGUGGUUUAAUUCGAAGCAACGCGAAGAACCUUACCCGGGUUUGAACUCAACCGGAAUUACUCAGAGAUGAGUACGCCCCUUCGGGGGUCGGUUGAUAGGUGCUGCAUGGCUGUCGUCAGCUCGUGUCGUGAGAUGUUGGGUUAAGUCCCGCAACGAGCGCAACCCUUGUCCAUAGUUACUAACGGGUUAAGCCGAGAACUCUAUGGAGACUGCCGGUGAUAAACCGGAGGAAGGUGGGGAUGACGUCAAGUCCUCAUGGCCUUUAUGUCCGGGGCUACACACGUGCUACAAUGGACGGUACAAAGAGUCGCAAAACCGCGAGGUGGAGCUAAUCUCAUAAAGCCGUUCUCAGUUCGGAUUGCAGUCUGCAACUCGACUGCAUGAAGCUGGAAUCGCUAGUAAUCGCGGAUCAGCAUGCUGCGGUGAAUACGUUCCCGGGUCUUGUACACACCGCCCGUCACAUCACGAAAGUGGAUUGUACUAGAAGUCGUCGCGCCAACCGCAAGGAGGCAGACGCCCACGGUAUGAUC
rnacentral:rRNA from 1 species